UCAAAAACAUAGCUGUUAGUAAUUUUUAACAGUUUYUUYUGCUCAAUGAGCUAUUAAAUAGCCGCAGUACCUUGACUGUGCAAAGGUAGCAUAAUCAGUUGGCUUAUAAUUGAAGUCUAGUAUGAAUGAAAGUAUGUGGAAUCACUAUAUCCUAAAUAUAAUAUUAAAUUACUGAGUAAGUGCAAAUACUUAUAGCUUAAUAAUAGACGAGAAGACCCUAGAAAUUUUAAGGAUGACAUAUAAAGGUUUUUGUUGGGGCAACAACGUAGCAUAUAACCUACGUUAUAUACAUGAAAUUAGUUUGAUAGGCUAAAUUACUCUAGGGAUAACAGCGUAAUAUUUAAGUGAUUGCGACCUCGAUGUUGGACUAGGAUACACAUG
rnacentral:rRNA from 1 species